ensembl:lncRNA
AGCCAAAAGGCUGGAGGGGGCGGGGGAGGGCCGCUCUUCCGUGCGCGCAUGCGCAGUCUCUCUCUCUCUCUCUCCUCUCUCUCUCUCUCUCUCUCUCUCUCCCCUCUCUCCCUCCCUCCCUCCCUCCCUCCCUCUCUCUCUCUCUCUCUCCCCCUCUCUCCCUCCCUCCCUCCCUCCCUCCCUCCCUCCCUCUCUCUCUCUCUCUCUCUCCCUCCCUCCCUCUCUCUCUCUCUCUCUCUCUCUCUCUCUCUCUCUCCCUCCCCCCCCCCCCCCCCCCGCCACCCCCCCCCCAGCCCCCGCCCCACGUCUUUUGGGUGAGCAUGCCCUCACGACUUGAGGAUGUAUUUUCCUUUAUUUUCUAAAUAAAACUGAGCUCUAACAUGGAGCUGUAACACUGAGAGUUGUGAUGCACUGAGGGCUUUAACGUCGGUCACUUCAAAUUUUUCUUGUGAGGAGACAGAACCAAGUAAAUUACACACUCCCCCUGACAACUGUAAUUGUAAUCACCUACAGAGGGGCAAGUAGAACUCCUUGUUCCUUUCCUAAAGAUCUGCAAUAACAGAUUAAUAAUAGCCUCAGCCUGUGAAUCCUGUUUCUGUAUCUGAUUGACUCAGGAGUCUCCUUUGAUAACCACAUGCCUGCAGAUGGUACUGUUCUGAGAAGAUCAUCAGCCUUAUCUGAGGACCUGCACUCUGGUCCUCAUACAGGUAACACCUGUACUCUGUCUCUGUGACUAGGCAGGGGUUUUAACAUCUUCAUCCUGGAAAAUUGGAGUCCUUCCCAUGGAAUGUGUGUGUUGAGCUUAGCAGAGACAGCCCUUUCCACUCUGGAGGUAAGACUGGGAAAAUUUGAGUCCAGAGCCCUCUGCUGCCUCUGGGCCCACUGCCUGUCCAAACACACCUGCAGGAGGAGAGAAGGACCUUGUUACAAACAAGAGAAGAGGAGAUCAAAGCAGCUGCAUCAUCUCAUUAACCUUCACCCCCAGAGAAGAUGGCAAGGAAAACUUAGAAACAAACAAAAUCAAGCCACUCUUCCUGCCUUCAGUGGAGCUUCAAACCAGAGGAUGUUACCUGGAACACACUGGAGAGUCAUAACCUUGGAGGGGCAGGAUGGAGGAGCUGAUGAACAAAAGCAGCCAUUUCCAAGAAAGAACAAUGGCAUUCUCUGUGACCUGGAGCACAGCUGGUAACCCUGGAUCCUCAAACAUUAACUCCUUCCUGAAGAUCCACAUUAACAUUUCCUCCAGCCACAUCUACAAUCUACAGCAUCUCAGACAAAUUGAACACCUUGCUUUUUUUUUUAAUUUAAAAAAAUUUUCUUCUAAUUGAAAAAAAAAUUAUGUUUUUUUUAGCAUUAAAGAACAACUCCAGUAAAUUUAUAAAUGUCUAAAUACAUGAGGUUUGUUUGUUGAGAUUUGUAUCUGGAAUUACUAAAUACCCAUGUGACCAUGAGCUGCAGGAGGGUGAAGACUGGAUUUGCUUUGCUCCACACAGUUUGUGUGGCAUGACCCAGUGCCUGGCACACAGUAGGCCCGUGAUAAACAUUGUUAAUCAACUGACUGACAGUAGUUGAAACAGAAAGUCAUCAGUGGGUUGAGAUUGACUUGUAACAUUAACGGAAUCAGUCGGAUCAAAACAUAAAUGUGAUUUUUUUUGUGUCUUACUGAUUUAUUUCCUCUGUUUCCCCUCACAUAGCCCUGAAAACCUAUUUUAAAUUUCAUGAGGAGCAAUGACGUGUUCCACUGUGCCAUCUCAAAUCUCCUUCUCUGAAUUCAGGUUUCAUCUUAAGUGCAGAAAAAGUGAUGCAGGCUCACAGUAGAAAAGUAUAUUUUUGAAAAUACCCAAAUCUCACUG